rnacentral:tRNA from 1 species
GGCCGGUUGGCGCAGCGGUAGCGCAAUUCGUUUACACCGAAGAGGUCACCGGUUCGAUCCCGGUACCGGCCA